UCCUACGGGAGGCAGCAGUGGGGAAUAUUGCACAAUGGGCGCAAGCCUGAUGCAGCAACGCCGCGUGAGGGACGAAGGCCUUCGGGUUGUAAACCUCUUUUAGUAGGGAAGAAGCGACUGGGUUUUCCUGGGAGUGACGGUACCUGCAGAAAAAGCACCGGCUAACUACGUGCCAGCAGCCGCGGUAAUACGUAGGGUGCAAGCGUUGUCCGGAAUUAUUGGGCGUAAAGAGCUCGUAGGCGGUUUGUCGCGUCUGCUGUGAAAACCCGAGGCUCAACCUCGGGCCUGCAGUGGGUACGGGCAGACUAGAGUGCGGUAGGGGAGAUUGGAAUUCCUGGUGUAGCGGUGGAAUGCGCAGAUAUCAGGAGGAACACCAAUGGCGAAGGCAGAUCUCUGGGCCGUAACUGACGCUGAGGAGCGAAAGCAUGGGGAGCGAACAGGAUUAGAUACCCUGGUAGUCCAUGCCGUAAACGUUGGGAACUAGAUGUGGGGACCAUUCCACGGUCUCCGUGUCGCAGCUAACGCAUUAAGUUCCCCGCCUGGGGAGUACGGCCGCAAGGCUAAAACUCAAAGGAAUUGACGGGGCCCGCACAAGCGGCGGAGCAUGCGGAUUAAUUCGAUGCAACGCGAAGAACCUUACCAAGGCUUGACAUAUACCGGAAACGGCUGGAAACAGUCGCCCCGCAAGGUCGGUAUACAGGUGGUGCAUGGUUGUCGUCAGCUCGUGUCGUGAGAUGUUGGGUUAAGUCCCGCAACGAGCGCAACCCUUGAUCUUAGUUGCCAGCAUUCAGUUGGGCACUCUAAGGUGACUGCCGGUGACAAACCGGAGGAAGGUGGGGAUGACGUCAAAUCAUCAUGCCCCUUAUGACCUGGGCUACACACGUGCUACAAUGGAUGGUACAAAGGGCUGCGAGACCGCGAGGUUAAGCGAAUCCCAUAAAACCAUUCUCAGUUCGGAUUGCAGGCUGCAACUCGCCUGCAUGAAGCCGGAAUCGCUAGUAAUCGCGGAUCAGCAUGCCGCGGUGAAUACGUUCCCGGGCCUUGUACACAC
rnacentral:rRNA from 1 species